rnacentral:rRNA from 1 species
GAUGAACGCUGGCGGCGUGCCUAAUACAUGCAAGUCGAGCGAACGGACGAGGAGCUUGCUCCUCUGACGUUAGCGGCGGACGGGUGAGUAACACGUGGAUAACCUACCUAUAAGACUGGGAUAACUUCGGGAAACCGGAGCUAAUACCGGAUAAUAUAUUGAACCGCAUGGUUCAAUAGUGAAAGACGGUUUUGCUGUCACUUAUAGAUGGAUCCGCGCCGCAUUAGCUAGUUGGUAAGGUAACGGCUUACCAAGGCAACGAUGCGUAGCCGACCUGAGAGGGUGAUCGGCCACACUGGAACGGAGACACGGUCCAGACUACUACGGGAGGCAGCAGUAGGGAAUCUUCCGCAAUGGGCGAAAGCCUGACGGAGCAACGCCGCGUGAGUGAUGAAGGUCUUCGGAUCGUAAAACUCUGUUAUUAGGGAAGAACAAAUGUGUAAGUAACUAUGCACGUCUUGACGGUACCUAAUCAGAAAGCCACGGCUAACUACGUG